AGCUGUUUGCACAUGUUGUCCUGAGGAGGCCCAACAGUUUUGCAGAAAGAGUCUACCCUGAGUCCCAGUGUGGGUUCAGAGCUGGAAGGUCCACCAUAUACAUGGUUUUCUCUGUUAGACAGCUAUAAGAAAACAGCAGGGAGCAGAAUAAACCACCGUACAUCGAUACAACAAUUAUUGCAUCGAUCUCAAGGCAAUGCUUGUCAAGGACAACCAACAACAACAAACAAUUGCGUGAGGGAUUCCCAUCAAUCUCAAACCAUAACUGCUCAGGAACAACCAAUAACAACAAACAAUUUGCGGACGUCGAGUCCCAAGCUUCCGUGGAUCUCACAUGGGGAAGAGUCAGCGCAAAGUCUGAGCAGUCAGCGGAGCAGAAGAUGAAGCAAAAAUAGUUCAUAUUUAAUCAUGAACUUUAUAUCUUGCAAAUGGUGUAAGAGACAUGAUAUUCGUUGUCAUCAGCUU